UACAGAGGUCCCGAGCGUUGUUCGGAUUCACUGGGCGUAAAGGGUGCGUAGGUGGUGAGGUAAGUCGGAUGCGAAAUCUCCGGGCUCAACCCGGAAAUGGCAUUGGAAACUACCUUGCUGGAGGAUUUGAGGGGGGAUUGGAAUACUUGGUGUAGCAGUGAAAUGCGUAGAUAUCAGGAGGAACACCGGUGGCGAAGGCGGGUCUCUGGGCCGUAACUGACGCUGGAGGAGCGAAAGCGUGGGGAGCGAACAGG
rnacentral:rRNA from 1 species